CCGCCACUCACAGCCGCCUCUUUGCUUCUCACCCUCUGACCCUCUCGGCCUCUCCGUCUCUUCGCCUCUCCGGAAACCCUAGAUCUACCUUCCAGACUUUAUGUUGGUCUGGUGACCGUCUUUGGCCAUGAAAAUGUAACAGAAUAAGCUUCAGGAUCUUGCUGGACAGCAUUCAAAUGUG